rnacentral:rRNA from 1 species
AUGUAUAUUCCUACAACAUAACAUUAAUGCACCAUAUCCCAUUAGAACUCCAUAGUUAAGAACACUAAGGAUAGAGUAGUACUCGAAUGAGUGACCACUCUCGAAGUCCUAGUAUUUUACAUG